rnacentral:misc_RNA from 1 species
UUUCCGUAGGUGAACCUGCGGAAGGAUCAUUAUUGUAUAACCGAGGUGCGAGGGCUGUCGCUGACCCGAAAGGUCGUGCACGCCCGAGUGUGUCCUCUUGCAUAAUAAUCCAUCUCACCCUUUGUGCAUCACCGCGUGGGCACCCUUCGGGAUCAUCUCGGGGGGGGGCUCGCGUUUUCACACAAACCCCCCUUUUAAAAGUGGAGAAUGACCACAUUUAUGCAAUCAAUACAACUUUCAACAACGGAUCUCUUGGCUCUC